GGAGAGGUGGCUCAGAGGUUAAGAGCACUUGACUGUUCUUCCAGAGGUCCUGAGUUCAAUUCCCAGCAACCACA
rfam:Neotoma lepida isolate 417 scaffold_353, whole genome shotgun sequence.